GAGUUGGUGCUCACUUCAUUAGUGUAUAUUGGAAUGAUACAGAGAUUAGCAGAGCCCCUACACAAAGAGGAAAGGCAAAAUUGUGAAAUGUUCCUUUUUUUU